GUGGGGAAUCUUAGACAAUGGGGGAAACCCUGAUCUAGCCAUGCCGCGUGAGCGAUGAAGGCCUUAGGGUUGUAAAGCUCUUUCAGCUGGGAAGAUAAUGACGGUACCAGCAGAAGAAGCCCCGGCUAACUCCGUGCCAGCAGCCGCGGUAAUACGGAGGGGGCUAGCGUUGUUCGGAAUUACUGGGCGUAAAGCGCGCGUAGGCGGACCAGAAAGUUGGAGGUGAAAUCCCAGGGCUCAACCUUGGAACUGCCUUCAAAACUCCUGGUCUGGAGGUCGAGAGAGGUGAGUGGAAUUCCGAGUGUAGAGGUGAAAUUCGUAGAUAUUCGGAGGAACACCAGUGGCGAAGGCGGCUCACUGGCUCGAUACUGACGCUGAGGUGCGAAAGCGUGGGGAGCAAACAGGAUUAGAUACCCUAGUAGUCC
rnacentral:rRNA from 1 species